UCUGUGACAGUUCUGUUGUGAACAUCAGCAGUAUGCUGACACUGCAUUACUAAAAUGAAUGAGACCUGACACAUGGAGAAGUCCCAGGUUGCUACUCCACAUAAAAUUGGCUCUCAUUCAGGUUUCUUUUUUUUCCUUUGGGAAAAUAACUACCACUAUUAAUAGCAACAUUGUAAUCUGCCCUGGGAUUUUAAUACCUGCUUCAACCCCUCUGAUUUUGUCAGAAAUUAAUGGAAGACAUCUUGCUGAGCAACGGCUUUUGGCAUUGUGCUGACAGCUGUGGCUUCACAUUGUUUCUUCUGCUUGGAAGCUACAGCAAGCAGCUGUUCUGCAGCUGAUGACAAGUUUAUACUUUGACGCAGAGUUCAAGAGAAAGAAACAGACAAGUUCUUUUACUCCUGAUUGUUGGAAACAGCACAAGAAACUCCAGCCUGCAUAACUUCUGCUCAGAAAGACGGCUUGCACAGCAGGAUAGAUACGACAAGUAUACUACUGGUGUAACCCCAACAAAGAAGAUCCGUGGAAGAGAUAACAUCACCAUAGCCACAUGGAAUGUAAGGACCUGGGACAAAUGGGCAGGUUGAAAGAACUCACAUAUGAAAAGGAACAAUACACCUAGCACCUCCUACGAAUCUCUGAGGUCAGAUGGAAGAACUUUGGAGAAGUACUAAUGGAAGAAGGCCAUGUACUUUAUUACAGUGGAGAGGACACACAUGUCAACAGCGUAGGAUUUCUUGUGCAUAAAGACAUCAAGAAUUCAGUAUUAGGAUGCCACCCAAUGUCCAGCAGGCUUAUUUCCAUCCUUCUAAAGGCAGUACCGUUUAAUAUCACAGUGGUACAAGUCUACGCCCCUACAACAGACUAUGAUGAUGAGCAAAUUUUGAAGAUUUUUACAGUCAGCUCCCAGACAUCAUCGAUAAGGUACACAAGAAAGAUAUCUUGAUUGUAUAAGGAGAUUGGGACACUAAAGUGGGUACUGAUGCACAGGCAGAUUGGUGAGAUUAUUGUGGCCCUUUCUGUAAUGAGGUAACCAAUGAGAAAAGAUUGAGUCGUUUGGAGUUUGCCAGCUAUAAUAAUCUGGUUCUUGCAAACACAUUAGGAGCACAUAAAGCAUCCAGACGAUAAACAUGACACACACCUAAUGAUCUACAUCACAGCCAGAUUGACUACAUCAUGGUGCAAAACCAAUUUCAUUCUGGGAUUAACAGAGCUAAAACAAGGAGGUGAUGACAAACAAACAUGAUGGAAUCAGCUCACAUAUCACUGUCAGUGGACAAGAGCUGGAGACAGUGAAACAGUUCAAGUAUUUGGGGGCAAUCAUCACUGAUGAAGGAUCCAAGGCAGAAAUUGGGGCAAAAACUGUGCAAACAACAGCAGCAAUGUGGAGGAAAAGCCAAUGUGGAGGAAUAAGAACAUCUCUCUAGAAUCCAAACUGAAAAUGCUGCAUGAAUUGGUCAUCUCCAUUUUUCUGUAUGUGUGCGAGACAUGGACCCUUAAGCCAGAACUUGAACAGAAAAUACAGGUAGUAGAGAUGAGAUACUUCUGUAAAAUCUUGAGCAUCUCCUACUUCGACCACAUCACUAAUGAAGAGGUCUGCAAUAUCAUCACCCAAUGCUUUGGAUCAUAUGAAGACCUCCUGAUGACCGUGAAGAAGUGCAAGCUGAAGUGGUAUGGCCAUGUAACAAGAUCAUCUGUCCUAUCCAAGAUCAUCCCCCAAGGAACAGUACAGGGGAAGAGAAGAAGAGAUGAGAUGGAUUGACAUCAAUAAAGAGUGGACAGGAAUGGACUUUGUGGAGACUCAAGCACUGAUUCACAAUCAUCAGGGGUGGAGACAAUUGGUUGAUUGCUCAUCAAUGAUGGUGUCCCAAUGACCAAUGCAGUUAUGGGAGUGAUGGUGAUGAUGAUGUUGAAUUAUAAAGCCAGAGCAGUGGUCCUUGAUUGAUAAGUAACAGUAUUGAGGGAAUUCUGUGUGUUAGACUGUACCGAAUAAUACCCACUGUCUCCAUGUCUAUGGAAUGCUAGAUAGUCUUGGAAACCAUCCCCUAUAUUAUAUAUAUAUAGGGGACGGUUUGGUUUACAA